AUACUUACCUGGCAGGGGAGAUGCCAUGACCACGAAGGUGGCUUUCCCAGGGUGAGGCUUAUCCACUGCACCCAGAUGUGCUGACCCCUGUGAUUUCACCAAAUGUGGGAAACUCAAUUGCGUAAUUUGUGGUAGUGGGGUACUGUGUUCUGCUGUCCCCUA
ensembl:snRNA U1 U1 spliceosomal RNA